AGUGAACGCUGGCGGUAGGCCUAACACAUGCAAGUCGAACGGCAGCACAGGAGAGCUUGCUCUCUGGGUGGCGAGUGGCGGACGGGUGAGGAAUACAUCGGAAUCUACUCUGUCGUGGGGGAUAACGUAGGGAAACUUACGCUAAUACCGCAUACGACCUACGGGUGAAAGCAGGGGAUCUUCGGACCUUGCGCGAUUGAAUGAGCCGAUGUCGGAUUAGCUAGUUGGCGGGGUAAAGGCCCACCAAGGGGACGAUCCGUAGAUGGUCUGAGAGGAUGAUCAGCCACACUGGAACUGAGACACGGUCCAGACUCCUACGGGAGGCAGCAGUGGGGAAUAUUGGACAAUGGGCGCAAGCCUGAUCCAGCCAUACCGCGUGGGUGAAGAAGGCCUUCGGGUUGUAAAGCCCUUUUGUUGGGAAAGAAAUCCAGCUGGUUAAUACCCGGUUGGGAUGACGGUACCCAAAGAAUAAGCACCGGCUAACUUCGUGCCAGCAGCCGCGGUAA
rnacentral:rRNA from 1 species